AAAUAUUUGUCUUCAACAGGUUUAUAGCGGAGACUGCAAUAAUGAAACUUCGCGUCACCAGAUUUCAAUAAAUACUAAUAAGAACAAAAUAAUUAGAAAAAUAAUCUCAUUUUCAGGCGUUGUUGUGGAUGCUGGUGGCUCGUAUGACCUGUCUGUUUUAUCAGCAGGGAUUUGUAUAAUUUUGGCGACCGUCGUUGGCGUAAUGUCUACAUGUUUCAAAAAUCGAACUAAGCGGAUCAUGGAUAUAGAGGUUAUUCCUCCAAAAGAAGAAUUGAAUGACAUGAACUCAGGUUGUGAUACUCAUGGAUAAAGCGUUGGUGCACAUAGACCUCGAUAAUCUGGUUAGGUUUCAUUAAACCAUUUCAACGCUCACUUAUAAUCGUUUGAAUCUCAGGUAUAGAGAAUCUCAAAAAAGAAGAUUUAUAUGAAUUGUUUACGGGCAAAGUUUCAGAUGCAAUGAAUUAUUGAUUCAGUUAUUGUUAACACUUUCAUGCUGACAUGCGCAACACUUGCUAUUUAAAAAGGAAAGAUUAUUGUUUGGAAAAGUCAUUUAAAAUUUAAAUAUUUUCAUGUUAUCAGCAUACUGUGGUUGUUUAAUUUCUGUUCCCAAUUAUAUUAUAUCUUUUUAUGUAGUAUCAACAUGACUAGCUUUUACGUAACUUUGUAACAAUUUUUUCAUAUCAAAAGCUGCACGAACGUAUUUCCUGAAAAUAGUUUAUACCCUAUUUUAGUUUGUAAAUUAAAUGUAUGAAUUGUU